AUCUAAAGGAAAAAAAGGAAAAUUGAAGGGAAAACUGUGUAUAAAAUCAGUGAGUCAAAAAGAUAAACACUAAGCUGAAGCACUGAAUAUUCAAUUCUUUUUUUUUACAAAUACAGAAGCUGGCAUUUUAAUUAACAGAGGAAUUAGAUAAUUCUGACUUCAAAGAAGGUGAAGAUGGAACAGAUAUACAAAAUCAACUACAAAAGCCUGGUGUUCACCGCCAUCCAUAGAAAAGGAAGUGUUCAGCACCUAGCAGGUGAAUAAAGGACCUGGCCAUAAACUUAACUUUACUAUUAGUUAUUUAUGCCAAAAGUCUGAACUCUCUUUUCUGAGUACUGGAGUUAGUAGUCAAAAUACAAUUUUCUUGAAAAGCGAUGUUUAUUCUUCUUGAGCUUCAUUGUGUGAUUGAUGUUUGUCUGACUGCCAUCAAAUAGCAGUUCAGUUUUCCAAUACUUUUAUUUAAAAUCAGUGUGAUCAUAAGGACAGAAAGGGCUUUGUUCUAAAUUAUUUGUAAAGCAUUUUCAGAGCAUAGUAUGUGUGUAAUACAUAAGCUUUCGAAUAGAUGAAAGUUUGAGAAUCUAAAGCUCCUAUGUCAAAAUCAUUUUCUAUAGCUGGUAAUGGCAUUUUAUGGAAGGAAUACAAAAAAAUUUUGAGAUCAGUUUUAAUGAGAUGAUAGAAGAUACUCACAAAUCACCAGG
rnacentral:lncRNA from 1 species